AUAAAAUUUAAUUUUUAUUUAGUAAUUUAUUUUUAAAUUAUUUUAUAUAUAAAUUUUUGUAUUAAAUGAUUAAUAUUUUAAAAAUAUUAACUUAAUUUAUAUUUGUAGUAAUUAAUAUUAAUUAUUAAAAGAAAUUUUGAAUUAGUAAUUUAUUUAGUGUUAGUUAAAAUUGUGCCAGCAACUGCGGUUAGACAAUUAAUAUAAAUAAAUUUUUAAAAUUAAAGUUAAAUAAUAGUAUAGUUAGAUUAAUAUUAAAAUUUUUAAGUAAAAUUUUGAAUUUUUAUAAAAUUUAAAAUUAUUGAUGUUAUUGAGUCUUAUAAAAUUUUUUAAUAAACUAGGGUUAGAUAUCCUAUUAUAGAAAAAAUAAUAAUUAAUAUUUGAUGAGUAAUAGUUAAGUUCUUGAAAGUUAAUAAAUUUGGCGGUAUUUUAUUUUGUUUAGAGGAAUUUGUUAUUUAAUAGAUAGUGCUCAAUUAUCUUACUUAAUUUAUUAUAAUUUGUAUAUCGUCGUCAUAAGGAUAUUUUUAAAAAAAAUUAAUAUUCAGAAUUAAUAAAUUAUUAAAUAUGUCAGAUCAAGGUGCAGUUUAUUAUUGGGGGAUAAUGAAUUACAAUAAUAAUUUAAUUAAAUGAAUAAUUUGAUGAAAAUAGAUUUGAAGGUGGAUUUAAUAGUAAAUAAAUAUAUUAAUAUUUAUUGAUUUUAAUUUUAAAAUAUGUACAUAUUGCCCGUCACUUUCAUAAAUUUAUGAAAUAAGUCGUAACAUAGUAAAAGUACUGGAAAGUGUUUUUAGAUAUUC
rnacentral:ncRNA from 1 species